rnacentral:tRNA from 1 species
GCUGGCGGAGCGUCGGCGUUGUCCGCGGCGCUCGGGUUCAUAACCCGAAGGUCGCGGGUUCGAAUCCCGCCCUCAGUA